AUCCGUGCGUUUUAGAUCCGACUUAAGUGUAGCAGGCGGCCGGAGCCCUGAAAGAUGGUGAUCAACACCCUGUCGGGAGGAUGCCAGAGGAAACUCUGGUGGAAGUUCGAAGGGCUUCUGACGUGCAAAUCGAUCGUCGGAACCAGGUGUAGGGGCGAAAGACAAUUGAGUCGUCUUGUAGCUAGUCCCCACGAAGUUUCCCUCAGGGUAGCUGGCACCAACGGGAGGACGAAACACAAUUACGUGCAUGGAAGCCGCGGAACAGACCUUGAGUGAAGCCGACCGCAGGUGCUGAUCUCGAUGGGAGUAACAAAUAUUCGAAUGAGACCUUCGAAAACCAAAGCGGAGAGCGGUUCCGUUCCAACGGCGGUCGAGCACGGGUCAGUCGGUCC
rnacentral:ncRNA from 1 species